UUAGAAGAAAGGUAGCCCACAACAAAGGGUACCCCAAGGUUAGAAGAACAAAAAAGAGAGAAGAGAAAAACAUAAAAGAUACAUCAUGUAAAAGAUACUCACAUCUUAGCUAGCCUUAAGCACUCGGUUAUAGUACUUAUCCAAGCCUAAUUUGUCCAUCUCCAAAGCCACCUUAAAAGUAAUAUUCGUAAAAGUGUAAUAUAGGUAUUCAUCUAGGUGGGAAACUUCAACAAGUCCCUAGGUAGGGAAAAUAAUGAAACAUCUUUUUUUUUUUUUUUUUAGGUACAUAGGGUACCCUUGAAACCACAAUGAGAGGAGCCUUACGACUUCUUCUUUGUUGCCGGGCUUUGAUGAGGAAGGGUACCUAUCGAAGAGGUGGCACCUACGGUAAUUGAGGAUUCACUUCUUAGACGGUUUAUAAAGGAGUCGAAAUCUUCGCUGGACCGAUCCAUAUCAAUCAACCACCAUGGAAAACAAGAAGAAAAGGUCAGAUAAACAGACACAAAGCUUAUUGUGAAUUAAAAUAACAGAAGGGCAAACAGUAAGGAAAACAUAAGGCUAGAAAACAAAAUACGAGUGACACUAGAAUACCCUUGCAAUACCCUCUACUCAUACUUGGUCAUGAAAAGAAGCCGAUGGGGAACCUUUGACCAAUUAGCCCUACCCACACUCAAUAUAUCACUCUCUAUAUGGCCAAAAACUUUGCCUAGUAGCGGUAAAAGAAAGAAAAUAAAAGGGAAGUCAAAGUUAGAAGCACCAGGAGGAAGGAAAAGAGGAAAGAAAAGGAAGAAAAAAAAAACAAAGAAGAGAGAGAGGCUUACCUAACAGAAGCUAAAGAAAAACGCAAGGAAUUGCUGGGGUUUCGAAUGGAGAACAAAGAUGUGCUGCCAAGAUGUUUGCAGGUUCAAGGAUAACUCUAGGGAUUUCAAAAAGAGUAAAGGGGAGGUGAAAGAAAAAAAAAAAAGAAAAAAGAAGGAUAAAAAUAAUAAAGGGGAGUUGUACGAUGUGUAAGUGAAAUAAGUAAUUUCACUUGUUCUAAAGCAAAGACAAAGAAAAAGGAAAUGUGUUGUGUCAUUAGAGAGGGUCCGCCUGUAAUAAAGCGCUGCAUAAGAUACAGCGGAAGUUUAAUUUUUUAUUCUAAAUUUAUUGGCCGUUAGAUUACUUUAUAAGCAAUCCAACGGCUUCGUAAUUUUAGGCAUAAAAUAGGUCACCGAAACAGAUGGUGGAACACUGGAAUCGGCAAAUAUCCUGGUAAUUAUCACUUUGCUCCCUCAUCUUUUAACUAAAUAUUAAAG
rnacentral:lncRNA from 1 species